GCCCAUUUGUAUUUUCUUCACUACUCUCAAUGUGAAUCAAGUAAAGACAUCAGUAUUAAUCUGCCUGCUUAACACUGAUGUGUGUCAACAUGUUCAAGACCAAAGGCUGUAGUCACUGGAAACAUGGACUUGUUUUCAUCUCUAACUCUCCACCUCUCCACACUCAGCCUGCAGAGCCCGGCCAACAAUCAGUCAGUGACUGGAGUCACUGCGUAACAAGCUAAAUUCCCA
rnacentral:lncRNA from 1 species